GAUGAACGCUGGCGGCAUGCUUUACACAUGCAAGUCGGACGGGAAGUGGUGUUUCCCGUGGCGGACGGGUGAGUAACGCGUAGGAACCUGCCCUUGGGAGGGGAACAACAGCUGGAAACGGCUGCUAAUACCCCGUAGGCUGAGGAGCGAAAGGAGGAAUCCGCCCAAGGAGGGGCUCGCGUCUGAUUAGCUAGUUGGUGAGGUAAUAGCUUACCAAGGCCGUGAUCAGUAGCUGGUCCGAGAGGAUGAUCAGCCACACUGGGACUGAGACAAGGCCCAGACUCCUACGGGAGGCAGCAGUGGGGAAUUUUCCGCAAUGGGCGAAAGCCUGACGGAGCAAUGCCGCGUGGAGGUAAAAGGCCUACGGGUCAUGAACUUCUUUUCCUGGAGAAGAAACAAUGACGGUAUCUGGGGAAUAAGCAUCGGCUAACUCUGUG
rnacentral:rRNA from 1 species